rnacentral:rRNA from 1 species
GAUUAACGCUAGCGGCAGGCAUAAUACAUGCAAGUUGAACGGCAGCACAGGUAGCAAUACUGGGUGGCGAGUGGCGCACGGGUGCGUAACACGUAUGCAACCUACCCUAUACAGGCGAAUAACCUUUAGAAAUGAGGGCUAAUACGCCGUAGUAUUACAGAUGGGCAUCUAUUUGUAAUUAAAGAUUUAUCGGUAUAGGAUGGGCAUGCGCCCCAUUAGUUAGUUGGUAAGGUAACGGCUUACCAAGACGAUGAUGGGUAGGGGAUCUGAGAGGACUUACCCCCACACUGGUACUGAGACACGGACCAGACUCCUACGGGAGGCAGCAGUAAGGAAUAUUGGGCAAUGGCCGCGAGGCUGACCCAGCCAUGCCGCGUGCAGGAAGACGGCCUUAGGGGUUGUAAACUGCUUUUAUACGGGAAUAAUAGAGUGUACGCGUACAUUUAUGCAAGUAUCGUAUGAAUAAGCAUCGGCUAACUCCGUG